rnacentral:rRNA from 1 species
UCAGUCGACUCUACGGGGAGGCAGCAGUGAGGAAUAUUGGUCAAUGGGCGCAAGCCUGAACCAGCCAUGCCGCGUGCAGGAAGACUGCCUAUGGGUUGUAAACUGCUUUAUACAGGAAGAAACACUCGGACGUGUCCGAGCUUGACGGUACUGUAAGAAUAAGGAUCGGCGUAACUCCCGUGCCAGCAGCCGCGGUAAUACGGAGGAUCCAAGCGUUAUCCGGAUCAUUGGUUAAGGGUCCGUAGGUGGAUUAGUAAGUCAGAGGUGAAAGCCUGCAGCUCAACUGUAGAACUGCCUUUGAUACUGCUAGUCUUGAGUCAUUAUGAAGUGGUUAGAAUGUGUAGUGUAGCGGUGAAAUGCAUAGAUAUUACACAGAAUACCGAUUGCGAAGGCAGAUCACUAAUAAUGUACUGACACUGAUGGACGAAAGCGUGGGGAGCGAACAGGAUUAGAUACCCUGGUAG